GGAAGUAAAAAACAAGGUUUCCGUAGGUGAACCUGCGGAAGGAUCAUUACCGAAUUGUCAAACGGGUUGUUGCUGGUCUUCAAACGGGGACAUGUGCACGCUCUGUUUACACAUCCACUCACACCUGUGCACCCUCCGUAGUUCUAUGGUCUGGGGGACCCUGUCUUCCUGGCGUGGUUCUACGUCUUUACACACACUCUGUAAUAAAGUCUUAUGGAAUGUAUGCCGCGUCCAACGCAAUACAAUACAACUUUCAGCAACGGAUCUCUUGGCUCUC
rnacentral:misc_RNA from 1 species